UACAGAGGUCUCAAGCGUUGUUCGGAUUCAUUGGGCGUAAAGGGUGCGUAGGCGGCGCGGUAAGUCGGGUGUGAAAUCUUGGAGCUUAACUCCGAAACUGCAUUCGAUACUGCCGUGCUUGAGGACUGGAGAGGAGACUGGAAUUUACGGUGUAGCGGUGAAAUGCGUAGAUAUCGUAAGGAAGACCAGUGGCGAAGGGCGGGGUCUCUGGACAGUUCCUGACGCUGAGGCACGAAGGCCAGGGGAGCAAACGGG
rnacentral:rRNA from 1 species